UAGGGAAUUUUCGUCAAUGGGCGCAAGCCUGAACGAGCGAUGCCGCGUGAGUGAAGAAGGCCUUCGGGUCGGUAAAGCUCUGUUGCCGGGGAAAAGGAAGGAAGAGGAAUGCUUUCUUUGGAUGGUACCCGGCCAGAAGUCACGGCU
rnacentral:rRNA from 1 species